AAAGAGGAACCAUUCUUAGAUGGAAAUGAAGCCUCUUCAAAUCAACAUCUUCCUGGUGUACCAUGCAAGACAGAAGCAAAAGUUGAGACUCACGACGCCCAUCCAAACUCCUCACAAAACAUUUCUGCUUUGUUGUUGAAUCAGUUUGGCGAAGGUGGGUCAGCAUCUAACCCAUCAGGAGACGCUGCUGGCGACGCUGGCAUCUCUGGGGCGUCCAACUCCAAGCAAAACAUAGAAAAAUCGUUCAAACAUUCAGCAGAAAAAUCUUUGCAGUGCUCCAAGUGUGAUGCUUGCACCACAAAAAGGAACUUGAAAAUUCAUUCGCUCUCAAAGCAUUCAGAAGUAAAACCUUAUCAGUGCUCUGAGUGUGAUUAUGCU